CAGGGACACCCACAGCUCCAGCAGUGCUCACAGCCCCGUCCCCUGAGCGCGGCUGUGUGCAGGGAUGGGGCAGCACCACCUCUCUGGGCACCCUGUGCAGUGCCUCACUGCCCUCAGUGCCAAAACUUCCUUAUAUCCAAUCUAAAUCUCCCCUCUUUGAGUUUGAAACAAUUUCCCUUGUCGCAUCACAACAGACCCUGCUAAAAAGUCUGUCCCUUCUUUCUUCCAGCCCCUUUAGAUACUGAUAGUGACACAGCACCGCUGUGCUGUUUGUGACCUCAGGUAACAGCAGGCAGUGUGUUUCAGUCACUGCUUAUUGAUGCAUUUCUGGUAUUUCCCUUCCGCCGGCAGCAGGAACAGCACUACUCGGAGCAGCACUCCUCCCUCAUUAACAAGGCCUACCAGACGCUGCUGCACCCCCUGAGCCGCGGCCUCUACCUGCUGGAGCUGAACGGGGUGGAGCCGGCACAGGAGACGGACUGUGAUGCAGAUUCAGAGUUUCUCAUGGAAAUCAUGGAAAUCAAUGAGAAAUUAGCAGAGCCUAAGAACGAUGAGAUCCUCGGAGAAAUAGAAACUUUAAUUAAAGAGUUUAUGUUGUGGAAGAAUCCUGGGUGCAGUGCUGGAGAUCAGAGCAACUUAAGCUGCUGGGAGGUGAAUGAGCACUGGUUCGUAGGUGCUGCUGUCUGUAAAGCUGUCUCAAUAAAGAAACACUUGUGGAAUGAUAGACAAGAAGAACUGACCAAAGAGGUGACCGCAGCUUUUGAAAGAGAUGACCUACAGGAAGCUAAGAAGCUUCUAGCCAAAAUGAAGUACUUUGCAAACUUAGAGGACAAACUAAAGAACAAGAAGAUCCCUUCCUGA
rnacentral:lncRNA from 1 species